UUUUGAUAACUCUCAGCAACGGAUAUCUCGGCUCUUGCAUCGAUGAAGAACGCAGCGAAAUGCGAUAAAUGGUGUGAAUUGCAGAAUCCCGUGAACCAUCGAGUCUUUGAACGCAAGUUGCGCCCGAGGCCAUCAGGCCAAGGGCACGCCUGCCUGGGCAUUGCGA
rnacentral:rRNA from 1 species